rnacentral:rRNA from 1 species
UGACCUCAAAUCAGGCAAGAAUACCCGCUGAACU